GACGUAGGGGGCCAGCGUUGUUCGGAAUUACUGGGUGUAAAGGGUUCGUAGGCGGUGUGGCAAGUCGGGAGUGAAAUCUCUGGGCUCAACUCAGAGACUGCUUCCGAAACUGCUGUGCUGGAGUGUGGGAGAGGCGCGUGGAAUUGCAGGUGUAGCGGUGAAAUGCGUAGAUAUCUGCAGGAACACCCGUGGCGAAAGCGUUCUGCUAGACCUGUACUGACACUGAGGGACGAAAGCUAGGGGAGCGAAUGGG
rnacentral:rRNA from 1 species